rnacentral:lncRNA from 1 species
GGGAAAUGAAAUAAUAACGCUGACCAUUUGUGGAGCACAUUCUGUCUGGAGGCAAAGGAUGCCAAGAUGGGAAAGCCACAUAAUGGAAGGAUCCUGGAUUUCAGAGCUGUCACUUGGAGGAGGGGCACCCAGUGAAGGUGUCUUAUCUAACCCACACCAUAUCUUCAUGAAGUGGCCAUAUGGAUUUGAUCCCUAUCCUUCAGAGGUGCUCAGCCUAAGGGAACACGGAUAGUAGAUUAAGCACUGACCAGAGCCAGCCUUGACAAUGUGCUGAUGGCAACCUAGAACAUAAGCAGAGGAGUAUACAGGACAAGAACUUGAUGGUCUCGGGAAAAUGGACAACAUGACUCAGGUGAAAAAGAUUGAUCAUCAGAUGUUUCUUAUGUAUCAACCUGAUAUUUAAAUCCAUGAAGGACAGAGACGACAAAGGCAGGUGGAAUAGAUAGAGAAGAGAUUCAAGGUCUGAGCUCUACAUUACUCAAACUGUUAGAGAUUAGG